GACGAACGCUGGCGGCGUGCUUAACACAUGCAAGUCGAACGGAAAGGCCCUGCUUUUGUGGGGUGCUCGAGUGGCGAACGGGUGAGUAACACGUGAGUAACCUGCCCUUGACUUUGGGAUAACUUCAGGAAACUGGGGCUAAUACCGGAUAGGAGCUCCUGCUGCAUGGUGGGGGUUGGAAAGUUUCGGCGGUUGGGGAUGGACUCGCGGCUUAUCAGCUUGUUGGUGGGGUAGUGGCUUACCAAGGCUUUGACGGGUAGCCGGCCUGAGAGGGUGACCGGCCACAUUGGGACUGAGAUACGGCCCAGACUCCUACGGGAGGCAGCAGUGGGGAAUAUUGCACAAUGGGCGGAAGCCUGAUGCAGCAACGCCGCGUGCGGGAUGACGGCCUUCGGGUUGUAAACCGCUUUCGCCUGUGACGAAGCGUGAGUGACGGUAAUGGGUAAAGAAGCACCGGCUAACUACGUGCCAGCAGCCGCGGUGAUACGUAGGGUGCGAGCGUUGUCCGGAUUUAUUGGGCGUAAAGGGCUCGUAGGUGGUUGAUCGCGUCGGAAGUGUAAUCUUGGGGCUUAACCCUGAGCGUGCUUUCGAUACGGGUUGACUUGAGGAAGGUAGGGGAGAAUGGAAUUCCUGGUGGAGCGGUGGAAUGCGCAGAUAUCAGGAGGAACACCAGUGGCGAAGGCGGUUCUCUGGGCCUUUCCUGACGCUGAGGAGCGAAAGCGUGGGGAGCGAACAGGCUUAGAUACCCUGGUAGUCCACGCUGUAAACGGUGGGUACUAGGUGUGGGGUCCAUUCCACGGGUUCCGUGCCGUAGCUAACGCUUUAAGUACCCCGCCUGGGGAGUACGGCCGCAAGGCUAAAACUCAAAGGAAUUGACGGGGCCCCGCACAAGCGGCGGAGCAUGCGGAUUAAUUCGAUGCAACGCGUAGAACCUUGCCUGGGUUUGACAUGGAUCGGGAGCGCUCAGAGAUGGGUGUGCCUCUUUUGGGGUCGGUUCACAGGUGGUGCAUGGCUGUCGUCAGCUCGUGUCGUGAGAUGUUGGGUUAAGUCCCGCAACGAGCGCAACCCUUGUUCACUGUUGCCAGCACGUUAUGGUGGGGACUCAGUGGAGACCGCCGGGGUCAACUCGGAGGAAGGUGGGGAUGACGUCAAGUCAUCAUGCCCCUUAUGUCCAGGGCUUCACGCAUGCUACAAUGGCUGGUACAGAGAGUGGCGAGCCUGUGAGGGUGAGCGAAUCUCGGAAAGCCGGUCUCAGUUCGGAUUGGGGUCUGCAACUCGACCUCAUGAAGUCGGAGUCGCUAGUAAUCGCAGAUCAGCAACGCUGCGGUGAAUACGUUCCCGGG
rnacentral:rRNA from 1 species